rnacentral:rRNA from 1 species
GACGAACGCUGGCGGCGUGCUUAACACAUGCAAGUCGAACGGAAAGGCCCUGCUUUCGUGGGGUGCCCGAGUGGCGAACGGGUGAGUAACACGUGAGCAUCCUGCCCUUGACUUUGGGAUAACUUCAGGAAACUGGGGCUAAUACCGGAUAGGAGCUCCUGCUGCAUGGUGGGGGUUGGAAAGUUUCGGCGGUUGGGGAUGGACUCGCGGCUUAUCAGCUUGUUGGUGGGGUAGUGGCUUACCAAGGCUUUGACGGGUAGCUGGCCUGAGAGGGUGACCGGGCACAAUGGGACUGAGAUACGGCCCAGACUCCUACGGGAGGCAGCAGUGGGGAAUAUUGCACAAUGGGCCCAAGCCGGAUGCAGAAACGCCGCGUUCGGGAUGACGGCCUGCGGGUAGUAAACCGCUUUCGCCUGUGACGAAGCGUGAGUGACGGUAAUGAGUAAAGAAGCACCGGCUAACUACGUG